rnacentral:rRNA from 1 species
GACGAACGCUGGCGGCGUGCCUAUACAUGCAGGUCGAACGCAUUUUCUUUCACCGUAGCUUGCUACACCGAAAGAAAAUGAGUGGCGAACGGGUGAGUAACACGUGGGUAACCUGCCCAUCAGCGGGGGAUAACACUUGGAAACAGGUGCUAAUACCGCAUAAUUCCAUUUACCGCAUGGUAGAUGGGUGAAAGGCGCUUUUGCGUCACUGAUGGAUGGACCCGCGGUGCAUUAGCUAGUUGGCGGGGUAACGGCCUACCAAGGCUGCGAUGCAUAGCCGACCUGAGAGGGUGAUCGGCCACACUGGGACUGAGACACGGCCCAGACUCCUACGGGAGGCAGCAGUAGGGAAUCUUCGGCAAUGAACGCAAGUCUGACCGAGCAACGCCGCGUGAGUGAAGAAGGUUUUCGGAUCGUAAAACUCUGUUGUUAGAAAAGAACAAGGAUGAGAGUGGAAAGUUCAUCCCUUGACGGUAUCUAACAGAAAGCCACGGCUAACUACG